rnacentral:lncRNA from 1 species
UACCGUAUAUGCUUGUAAAACCACUGAUAUAGAACCAGCCAGACUGCCCAAUGAGUUGAUCCCUGUCUUGCCCUGUGCAGACAUCAUUUAUAAGGUUUACCUCUGGACUACUCAAUCAAUGGACCGAUAACACAUUUGUUGCUGUGCUUAGCAAUGUCUCAUGUGCAUUGUCCGAUCACUGUAUUUUGUUAUUGUACAACCACAGAAUGACAGCUGAUGUCCGCAAUCUCUGCAACGUGCACUUACAGUGGUGUCUCUGUCAAGUUAGAUGUCAAAUAGCUGCGCCAAUUGUGCCAAAUCGCGCCACAAGCGAGCCUCUGCGCCAUCCUGCUCCAAAACAGCAUUGUAUCGGAAAUUGUGCCAAAUCAGCAUCAAAUGAAGCAUAAGAAUGAAAACCUUCUGUUGAUGCUGCCUAGGCAGUGAAAAUGAUCGCAAACCUCAUCAUAAUCCUGGAAGGCAACAGAGUUGCCAUAGCCACAGAUACAGCUGAUGCAGUCGUUUCUCCACUCGCUGUUUUUUGUUUUUGAUUUUGCUGCAUUUCUCUCCAGUGGAUUUUCCAGUGUACUGCCGCUAUCCCGUCUUUUUUGUUCGUGCCGUUUGUGCUGCAGUCGGUAUUCUCCUCGUACCAGUGUGGCACGGAGCUCGCUAAAGGAAAAUGUUGGAUGAAAAAUAAUCCUCGGGUAACGUCUGGUCGCACAUUGUUCAGCAUAGUUGUUUGUGGUCCCACCUUAAAAAUAUCUAGCUAUACUUGUACUCGGCUGCUGACGUGUAUAAUUUGCUUAUGAGUCAUGACAUUCUUUGCAUAUCUGCACAAUCUACUGAGCGGAUUUCGGGUGUGUAAUUUAAUCAAGUUUUACAGUUUCCACAGCACAGCUGCGCUGGAGAUUGUAAUUGCAAAUAUCUUUCUAAUACUUUUCGAAUAUUUCAGAACGUUAACUGCACACAGUGAAACAAAAUUGGAGCAAAAGUACCGUAAAUUUUCAUCCUCGCAGGCAUAUUAUAGACGCGAAACAUAAGAACUUGCGCAGUGGAGCAGGUUAUGUCACUUAAGUAGCCAUCAUUUACAGACUAUACUGCAAUCAUUCGCACCAUCUGGAAAGUCCUGUGCCUGCGAAAAAACUGCUUGUUUGCUCCUAAUACUCCAUUUGUGCUUUGAAUAAACAAUGCUUCAUAACGCUAUA